AUCCCAUGAUUAAAGCUCGUAGUUGAUUUCUGGAGAGGUUGAUUGCCGCUUAUGGUGGCUUUUCAAUCUUCUUCAUCCUUCUGUUAACUUUUCAGGCGCUAUGCGCAGGAAUUGAGCUCAGAUAUUUUACCUUGAGAAAAUUAAAGUGUUUCAGGCAGGCUAGGCCAGAAUACAAAAGCAUGGAAUAAUGGAAUUGGCAUCUCUCUGUGGUUGCAGAGGUGGUGUAAUGGUUAAUAGGAACAGUUGGGGGCAUUAGUAUUUAAUUGUCAGAGGUGAAAUUCUUGGAUUUGUUAAAGACUAACUAAAGCGAAAGCAUUUU
rnacentral:rRNA from 1 species